rnacentral:tRNA from 1 species
UCCCUGGUGGCUGAGAUGGUAAAGAAUCUGCCUGCAAUGCAGGAAAUCUUGGUUUGAUCCCUGGGUUGGGAA